rnacentral:lncRNA from 1 species
AGCAUAUGGUUGCCUGGCUGGUUAAGUGCUGUUAAUGAGAAUAGUAAUUCUCUAUUCUUAACAAUAGGCCCUGGAGACUUUUUGGUUCAUCAUGCUAUUGCUCUAGGUUUACAUACAACUACAUUGAUCUUGGUAAAGGGGGCUUUAGAUGCACGGGGUUCUAAGUUAAUGCCAGAUAAAAAGGAUUUCGGUUAUAGUUUUCCUUGCGACGGUCCGGGACGAGGCGGUACUUGUGAUAUUUCGGCUUGGGACGCAUUUUAUUUGGCAGUUUUCUGGAUGUUAAAUACCAUUGGGUGGGUUACUUUUUAUUGGCAUUGGAAACACAUCACGUUAUGGCAGGGUAACGUUUCACAGUUUAAUGAAUCUUCCACUUAUUUGAUGGGAUGGUUAAGAGAUUAUCUAUGGUUAAACUCUUCCCAACUUAUCAAUGGGUAUAACCCGUUUGGUAUGAAUAGUUUAUCAGUCUGGGCGUGGAUGUUCUUAUUUGGACAUCUUGUUUGGGCUACUGGAUUUAUGUUUUUAAUUUCCUGGCGCGGGUAUUGGCAAGAAUUGAUUGAAACUUUAGCGUGGGCUCACGAACGCACACCCUUAGCUAAUUUGAUUCGAUGGAGAGAUAAACCAGUGGCCCUUUCCAUUGUGCAAGCACGAUUGGUUGGAUUAGCCCACUUCUCUGUAGGUUAUAUAUUCACUUAUGCGGCUUUCUUGAUUGCCUCUACAUCGGGCAAAUUUGGUUAAUUCUUUCUGUCUUGUAUCCGCGCGAUAAUAUCAUUUCUUUCGGUAGAGAAGGGGUAUGCCUUCUUAUAUUUCUACAGCUAUAUUUCUACAUCUAGGAUCCGACUUGUAUCAUUGAUAAUAAUAGGGACGGAACCGCUAUGGCAAGGCAAAGUUUGAUUCAGAGGGAAAAGAAAAGGCACAAAUUGGAACAAAAAUAUCAUUUGAUUCGUCGAUCCUCAAAAAAAGAAAUAAACAAAGCUCCAUCGUUGAGCGAUAAAUGGAAAAUUCAUGGAAAGUUACAAUCCUCACCGCGUAAUAGUGCACCUACCCGUCUUCAUCGACGUUGUUUUUUGACCGGAAGGCCGAGAGCUAACUAUCGAGACUUUGGACUAUCCGGACACAUACUUCGUGAAAUGGUUCAUGCGUGUUUGUUGCCGGGGGCAACAAGAUCAAGUUGGUAAGGAUUAAAAUAUCCUUCAUUUUUCUUUUUUCGAUUGGAUUUCUAUGAUCUAUCAUCAUAGAGGCGGCCCCUUUACCAUUCUGUACAAAUAGGCUAUUCUAUUUGUACGGGUAUGGAAAAGGGGCGCAUUCAAUCCUUGUUUGUUUCUUAGUUCUUCCCAGUCCUUCUCUUCAUCGCGGGGUAGAGCAGUUUGGUAGCUCGCAAGGCUCAUAACCUUGAGGUCACGGGUUCAAAUCCCGUCUCCGCAACAUUUUUUAUUUUUUGACAAAAAAAUGAGGUUUGAUUCUGUUAACUAUUAAUUAGCACUUUUCUCUUUUUUUUUUUUUUUUUUUCUUGGGUGGAAAGAUAGAACCGCUAUACUAUCACGGUCAACUAUAAGAAGUCGUUUAUCCUAUUAACUAAGAAGUCGUUUAUCCUAUUAACUAAGAAGUCGUUUAUCCUAUUAACUACAUUACUUUACCUUGGCGGAUAGCGGGAAUCGAACCCGCGUCUUCUCCUUGGCAAAGAGAAAUUUUACCAUUCGACUAUAUCCGCAUUUUUUCCUUGAAAUGGCUGGAAAAUCUUUAUCCAGAGUUAGGCCAGAUACUCUCUUCAGGGUAAUUCCAUCAAAUUCCACUACCAAACCAAUUUAAAUGAAAGCCAAGUACAUAUUGCAAUUUUCAAUAUUAAUUAAUAUUAAUUAAUAUUCAUUAUUGAAUAGUUUUCAAUAUUUUAUUUCUAUUAAUUAUUAUAUUACUAUUUAUUUCUAAUAUAUAGAUAUUUUUCUAUUAAUAAUAUAUAUUUCUAUUAAUUAUUAGAUAAUUAUAUUAUCUUUAUCAGAAUUCUAUUAAAUAGAUUCUAAUUAUCUAAUUUCGAUUAUUAUUAUUUUUUAAUCUUAUUUUUUUUUAUAAUAAUAUAAUUUUUCGUUCUAUCUAAUAAUCGAAUUUUAAAUAAUAUAAUUUUAUUGUUUAUUUUUCAUUCGAGUUCCAGAAGUUUGACCCCUCCCACGAAUUUUUGUGUUUUUUUUUUUAUUUGCAUUUUGGAGACUUAUAGUGAAUUUUAAUGUGUCUCACAACCCGAAAAAUUCGUGGGAGGGGCAUUUCAUUGUUGGAUUGGGAACGAAUAGAUUUAAGAAAUGAGAGAGUUAAGGAUACCCACCAGAAAGACUAAUCCAAUCCACAAUGAUGUACCAGAAAAUACGACAUUUUUGUUACUCGACCAACCAUCCGGAGAAGCAAAUACAACGGGUACACUAAUCAGUAAGAUUGAUGAAGUAGCAAUUAAUGCAAAAACAGCCAAUUGGAAAGCAAUAGUCAUGUUUCUAAUCCUCCAAGCUACCAACAAAAAAGAACUAUACCAUUUGAUCCCUCUAUCAGCCAAAAAAUUGGAAUAGAAUGCAUCCUAGGGGGAUUUUACCAUGAAUCCAUUGAUUCUAUAUGACGUAUUUCCAACCCUUUACCACUUUGAUUCGGACAUGGGUCGAGAGUACUUUUUUUUACUUCAAAAAUGGGAGUGCUGGAUCAUACAUCGAUCUAUUUUCUAUGUAUAUACAGAUAGAUUGACCUAUAACCUAUAAGAGUCACGCCUAAUAUCUUUCUAUACAUAGUAAUGGUAUCAACUAACUCAUAUAGCCAUGUUCUAUUCAGUAAAAGUAAAAUAGAAAUUGUCUUUCGGAGAGGUGGCCGAGUGGUUGAUAGCUCCGGUCUUGAAAACCGGUAUAGUUCGAAACAAAGAACUAUCGAGGGUUCGAAUCCCUCUCUCUCCUUGUGCUCGGUGAAUCGCUUUUUUUCUUUAUUGGGUUUGCCUGGCUUUUUCGUCUCAUAAAAGGGAAUGGCUCGGCUAGGGAGGAUAGCCGAGCCAGAAAAAAAAAAUAUAUAUAAAAUAGAUUAGAUAUAACUGAGUUGAAAAGAAAGGAAAAAGGAAUACUUUUUUUUAAGUAUAACUCGCUUCCCUCAAUAUGCAGGGUGCAAUCAAACCAAUUUCUAUUUUAUUUUAAGCAUACGCCUUGGAUCCCCUGUCUCAGUUAAGAGGAGUCAUCGAAAGAACAGGUUCAAAAUCACGAUCAAUUCCUUUUUCAAACCCUGCUGCAGCUGCACGAGCUCUUCCCGCGUGCCAUAAGUGACCUACGAAGAAGAAGAAGCCUAGAACAAAAUGAGAAGUAGAUAACCAAGUUCUCGGAGAGACAUAAUUAACUGCAUUGAUCUCGGUAGCUACUCCACCCACAGAAUUUAAAGAACCUAAAGGAGCAUGAGUCAUAUAUUCCGCAGAACGUCGUUCUUGCCAAGGUUGUAUGUCCUUUUUCAACCUACUCAAGUCUAAACCGUUGGGACCCCUUAGAGGUUCUAACCAUGGAGCACGCAGAUCCCAAAAACGCAUAGUUUCUCCCCCAAAAAUGACUUCUCCAGUAGGGGAACGCAUUAGAUAUUUACCUAAACCAGUAGGCCCUUGAGCGGAUCCCACAUUAGCCCCAAGACGUUGGUCUCUAACCAGAAAAGUAAAUGCUUGAGCUUGAGAAGCUUCUGGCCCAGUGGGCCCAUAAAACUCACUAGGAUAAGCGGUAUUAUUGAACCAGACAAAGCAACAAGCAAUGAAACCAAAAACAGCUAAAGCACCUAAACUAUAAGACAAGUAAGCCUCCCCAGACCAUACAAGUGCACGGCGAGCCCAUGCAAAAGGCUUGGUUAAGAUAUGCCAGAUUCCACCAAAUAUACAAAUGGAACCUAACCAUACAUGACCUCCAAUUAUAUCUUCCAAAUCAUCCACACUAACAAUCCACCCCUCUCCUCCAAAGAAGGAUUUUAGUAAAUAACCAAAAAUAACACUUGGGCUAAGGGUCAAGUUGGUAAUUUUUCUUACAUCUCCCCCCCCCGGAGCCCAGGUAUCAUACACGCCCCCAAAAUAAAGAGCCUUGAAUACUAGAAGAAAAGCACCUAUACCUAACAAGAUUAGGUGAAUACCCAAAAUUGUGGUCAUUUUAUUUCUAUCUUUCCAUACAUAACCGAAGAAUGGAAAAGAUUCUUCAAGAGUCUCAGGUCCCAGAAGUGCAUGAUAAAUACCGCCAAAGCCCAAUACUGCAGAGGAAAUUAAGUGAAGUACUCCAGAUACAAAGUAUGGAAAGGUGUCUAUAACUUCCCCACCAGGACCUACCCCCAGCCUAGAGUAGCUAGGUGGGAAGUAAAAUUAAUCCUUGUUCAUACAUGGCUUUUCUGGUACGAAAUGAGCCACUUCAAAUAGGUCAUUGCUCCGGCCCAGAAUACAUUAAUCAGCAGCAAGAAAAAUAAAUAAGCGGCAUUCGACAACGAAAGUGGGCAGAUCACAGCAAGCAUAAAGACCAGGAAUAGAUAAAGAUUAUCUUAGUCAGACAAUACAAAAGGUAGAAGUCCUCAAAGAGUCGCAGUCUCAUGUGUAUAUCCUAUUUCUACGUGAAACUUUUUAAUGAACUUUUGUAGUUGAUUUUGUCUUUAUUUUAUCCGUAAAUGCUGGGCUCAUGUAAUGCUGGAUUAAUCUAUUUGGGCCGGAGCAAUGAACUAUUUGAAGUGCUCAUUUCGUACCAGAAAAGCCCAUGUAUGAACAAGGAUUAAUUUUACUUCCCACCUAGCUACUCUAGGCUGGGGGGUAGGUCCUGGUGGGGAAGUUAUAGACACCUUUCCAUACUUUGUAUCUGGAGUACUUCACUUAAUUUCCUCUGCAGUAUUGGGCUUUGGCGGUAUUUAUCAUGCACUUCUGGGACCUGAGACUCUUGAAGAAUCUUUUCCAUUCUUCGGUUAUGUAUGGAAAGAUAGAAAUAAAAUGACCACAAUUUUGGGUAUUCACCUAAUCUUGUUAGGUAUAGGUGCUUUUCUUCUAGUAUUCAAGGCUCUUUAUUUUGGGGGCGUGUAUGAUACCUGGGCUCCGGGGGGGGAGAUGUAAGAAAAAAUUACCAACUUGACCCUUAGCCCAAGUGUUAUUUUUGGUUAUUUACUAAAAUCCUUCUUUGGAGGAGAGGGGUGGAUUGUUAGUGUGGAUGAUUUGGAAGAUAUAAUUGGAGGUCAUGUAUGGUUAGGUUCCAUUUGUAUAUUUGGUGGAAUCUGGCAUAUCUUAACCAAGCCUUUUGCAUGGGCUCGCCGUGCACUUGUAUGGUCUGGGGAGGCUUACUUGUCUUAUAGUUUAGGUGCUUUAGCUGUUUUUGGUUUCAUUGCUUGUUGCUUUGUCUGGUUCAAUAAUACCGCUUAUCCUAGUGAGUUUUAUGGGCCCACUGGGCCAGAAGCUUCUCAAGCUCAAGCAUUUACUUUUCUGGUUAGAGACCAACGUCUUGGGGCUAAUGUGGGAUCCGCUCAAGGGCCUACUGGUUUAGGUAAAUAUCUAAUGCGUUCCCCUACUGGAGAAGUCAUUUUUGGGGGAGAAACUAUGCGUUUUUGGGAUCUGCGUGCUCCAUGGUUAGAACCUCUAAGGGGUCCCAACGGUUUAGACUUGAGUAGGUUGAAAAAGGACAUACAACCUUGGCAAGAACGACGUUCUGCGGAAUAUAUGACUCAUGCUCCUUUAGGUUCUUUAAAUUCUGUGGGUGGAGUAGCUACCGAGAUCAAUGCAGUUAAUUAUGUCUCUCCGAGAACUUGGUUAUCUACUUCUCAUUUUGUUCUAGGCUUCUUCUUCUUCGUAGGUCACUUAUGGCACGCGGGAAGAGCUCGUGCAGCUGCAGCAGGGUUUGAAAAAGGAAUUGAUCGUGAUUUUGAACCUGUUCUUUCGAUGACUCCUCUUAACUGAGACAGGGGAUCCAAGGCGUAUGCUUAAAAUAAAAUAGAAAUUGGUUUGAUUGCACCCUGCAUAUUGAGGGAAGCGAGUUAUACUUAAAAAAAAGUAUUCCUUUUUCCUUUCUUUUCAACUCAGUUAUAUCUAAUCUAUUUUAUAUAUAUUUUUUUUUUCUGGCUCGGCUAUCCUCCCUAGCCGAGCCAUUCCCUUUUAUGAGACGAAAAAGCCAGGCAAACCCAAUAAAGAAAAAAAGCGAUUCACCGAGCACAAGGAGAGAGAGGGAUUCGAACCCUCGAUAGUUCUUUGUUUCGAACUAUACCGGUUUUCAAGACCGGAGCUAUCAACCACUCGGCCACCUCUCCGAAAGACAAUUUCUAUUUUACUUUUACUGAAUAGAACAUGGCUAUAUGAGUUAGUUGAUACCAUUACUAUGUAUAGAAAGAUAUUAGGCGUGACUCUUAUAGGUUAUAGGUCAAUCUAUCUGUAUAUACAUAGAAAAUAGAUCGAUGUAUGAUCCAGCACUCCCAUUUUUGAAGUAAAAAAAAGUACUCUCGACCCAUGUCCGAAUCAAAGUGGUAAAGGGUUGGAAAUACGUCAUAUAGAAUCAAUGGAUUCAUGGUAAAAUCCCCCUAGGAUGCAUUCUAUUCCAAUUUUUUGGCUGAUAGAGGGAUCAAAUGGUAUAGUUCUUUUUUGUUGGUAGCUUGGAGGAUUAGAAACAUGACUAUUGCUUUCCAAUUGGCUGUUUUUGCAUUAAUUGCUACUUCAUCAAUCUUACUGAUUAGUGUACCCGUUGUAUUUGCUUCUCCGGAUGGUUGGUCGAGUAACAAAAAUGUCGUAUUUUCUGGUACAUCAUUGUGGAUUGGAUUAGUCUUUCUGGUGGGUAUCCUUAACUCUCUCAUUUCUUAAAUCUAUUCGUUCCCAAUCCAACAAUGAAAUGCCCCUCCCACGAAUUUUUCGGGUUGUGAGACACAUUAAAAUUCACUAUAAGUCUCCAAAAUGCAAAUAAAAAAAAAAAACACAAAAAUUCGUGGGAGGGGUCAAACUUCUGGAACUCGAAUGAAAAAUAAACAAUAAAAUUAUAUUAUUUAAAAUUCGAUUAUUAGAUAGAACGAAAAAUUAUAUUAUUAUAAAAAAAAAUAAGAUUAAAAAAUAAUAAUAAUCGAAAUUAGAUAAUUAGAAUCUAUUUAAUAGAAUUCUGAUAAAGAUAAUAUAAUUAUCUAAUAAUUAAUAGAAAUAUAUAUUAUUAAUAGAAAAAUAUCUAUAUAUUAGAAAUAAAUAGUAAUAUAAUAAUUAAUAGAAAUAAAAUAUUGAAAACUAUUCAAUAAUGAAUAUUAAUUAAUAUUAAUUAAUAUUGAAAAUUGCAAUAUGUACUUGGCUUUCAUUUAAAUUGGUUUGGUAGUGGAAUUUGAUGGAAUUACCCUGAAGAGAGUAUCUGGCCUAACUCUGGAUAAAGAUUUUCCAGCCAUUUCAAGGAAAAAAUGCGGAUAUAGUCGAAUGGUAAAAUUUCUCUUUGCCAAGGAGAAGACGCGGGUUCGAUUCCCGCUAUCCGCCAAGGUAAAGUAAUGUAGUUAAUAGGAUAAACGACUUCUUAGUUAAUAGGAUAAACGACUUCUUAGUUA